GAAAAGAUACCACCGGAGCACAGGGCAGCCAUGAACGGCGGCAAAGAAGAAACAGAAAACAAUAAUAACAAAAUUGAACAAAAUACAAACAGCAAAGUACUUGAUAAAGUCGGAAACGUCGUCGUUUCGAUCAACAAAGCCAAAAAUGUUGAUCAAGUUAUUUGCGCUCUUCACUCUCUCGCUGUCCGUCUUUUCCCUCUCGAUUCCUCCGCCUUUUUAGGUAGCAUUGACAAAAAAUAUAAAGAUGAGGUUAUGGGAAACGAAGUACCUUCGGUACCCGAAAGAGAUGACUGGUGGCAGGUGUUUUAUCAAAGUACCGCAUUUACAACAUUUGCUAGAGUGUUGUUAUCGGAUGUUGCUUUGAAUUGGCUAACUUGUUUCCCUGCUUCCGCAAAGAAACAUUUGUAUGAUGUGUUCUUUGUACGGGGUUGUGUUUCUGAGGUGGUACAAACUUUAGUUCCUUAUUUACAAUAUCACUCAAAUGGGCGACUUCAAACGACCAUCUGCUCAAAUACCGAGAGAUUACUUGCACUAUGCUUGCUUGAAAAUGAUGGGGUCCUCCAGCUGGCUAGAGAAUUUUCUCACAAAUCCGAAGGUAUAAAUUUUGAACAGCAUACGUCUACAAUCUCUAGAGUGGCUCAACUCAUUACAUCUGUCCCCGAUAAAGCACGAUUGGGAGCUUCCAACUUACUUUCGUCACACUUAUACGUCAAAAGGACUACGAUACAACUAAUUCAGGCAGCAGAAGAAUGGGACACAAAGGAUUAUGAUAAAUCGACUAACGUCAGCAAUAGCAAUCUGGAUGGUUUGAUGCUAUUUAUUGGGGAUGCCUUUGCGCGUAUUUGUAGACGAGGGUCUGCAGACGUUCUGUUAAGUGAAAUAAUCCCACGAAUUGUUAGUCAAGUUCAAAUCCUCCUGCAGUCCAGAUGUGACAUGAGCGAUGCUGAAACCAUAAAAUCAGAGCCUGGUUUGCGGUUUUGGUCAAAGAUAAUGGAGGCAAUUAAGGAUUCAUAUGCUGUAGAAAGAAUGUCUGAGCAGCUUUUGCAAAAGUUAGCAACUCAGAACAUUAGUGAGGUUGAAGGUUAUUGGAUUCUUUGGUUGUUGUUCCAUCAAAUUUAUGAGUUCCAAGCAUCCAUCAGGUCCAUGUUUACUGAAAGAUUUUUACUCUGGAAAGUAUUCCCUGUAUGUUGUCUAAGAUGGAUCCUUCAGUUUUCGGUUCUUCAAUGUCCUCCUGAUACUGUGCUCGAGGUCAAAAGUCAAAAUCAUGGUGAUCUAUUGGAUAUCACCAAGCGCCUUCUUGCAGUAUGGUCCAAGCGAGAGUUUGUACAGUCAGCACCAGUGGAACAACAAGCUUAUUUAACUGCAGCUGUUGGCCUUUCCUUAGAAAAGCUCAAAAAAGAAGAUUUUGAUGCUACCAAGGAUGCAAUGCACUUGAUUCUUCAAGGGGUUAGCUGUAGGCUAGAGAGCCCAUCUCAUAUUGUUCGUAAGAUGGCUAGUAGUAUUGCUCUAGUCUUUUCAAAGGUGAUUGACCCAGGCAAUCCUCUGUAUCUUGAUGAAAGUUGCACAGAGGAAACUAUUGAUUGGGAGUUCACAUCAAUGAAUGCUAACAUGGAAGGAUUGUUAAUAUCCGAUGGACAAGAAACAGAAAGUAAUCAAGAUAAGGGUCAUCCUACAUCUGAAAAGGACAAUAAGGAUGCAAGGAAAAAGAACAAGCAUAAAAUUCCAAUGGAAUUGACGUUGGUUGAUCCGGAUGAGGUUAUUGACCCUGCCACAUUGAAUAAUGAUGCUAGCUCUGAUGGAGACAACAAUGAUGAUGGUGACGAUGAUGAUACUGAGAUUUCUGAAACCUCCAGUGAGUCUUCUUUACAACCGUAUGAUUUGUCUGACGAUGAUACCGACUUGAAAAAGAACUUUGCACAGUUGAUUGAUGUUGUUGGAGCCUUAAGGAAGUCUGAUGAUGCUGACGGGGUUGAAAGAGCUCUUGAUGUUGCUGAAAAGCUUAUACGAGCAGCUCCUGAUGAACUUCCAUUCAUAGCAAGUGAUCUAGUUAGAACGCUUGUCCAGGUCCGUUGCUCGGAUUCAACUUUAGAAGGAGAAGAAGAAUCAGCUGAAGAAAAAAGGCAAAAAGCACUAGUUGCUCUAAUUGUCAAUUGUCCAUUAGGAAGCCUAGAUCCAAUAAACAAACUACUAUAUUCACCAAAUGUAGACACCAGCCAACGGAUAAUGAUUCUUGAUGUCAUGACCGAUGCCGCCGUUGAGCUUUCUCAUAUGAAGACCAGUAGACAAAAGCACAUGUCAAAAUCCCUAAUAUGGACCACUGCUGAGACCCAACCAUGGUUCUUGCCAAGUAGCAUAGGGCCUGCAGGUACAACCACUUGGAAAGAGAUAUCUGGAACCGAGUCUCCAUUGGCCAUGACGUACUCGUAUGAGAGAGACCUCCCAAGCAAAUCAGGUCAGGUCAAGAAAGGAAAAUCAAGACGAUGGAGUAGAGCAAUAAAUGCAGUACAAGAUGAUCAGGUGGAAUGGUCACAGAAUAAGUUCCCUCCGUUUGCAGCGGCGUUUAUGCUUCCAGCCAUGCAGGGAUUUGACAAAAAAAGACACGGGGUUGACUUUCUUGGCAGGGAUUUUAUAGUUCUUGGAAAGCUUAUUCACAUGCUCGGCAAUUGUAUGAAAUGUUCUGCCAUGCAUCCUGAAGCAUCUGCUUUGGCUCUUCCUUUACUGGAUAUGUUGAGUUCCAGGGAAAUAAGCCAUCAUGCAGAAGCAUAUGUUCGUAAAGCUGUCCUUUUUGCGGCAUCAUGCAUACUCUUGGCUCUUAAUCCAACUUAUGUAGCAACAGCGUUGGUUGAAGGAAGUAGUGAAAUAUCUAGAGGCCUGGAGUGGGUGCGCACAUGGGCUCUCUCCGUAGCUGAAUCAGACACUGAUAAGGAAUGCUACUUGAUGGCAAUGGCGUGUCUUCAAGUCCACUCGGAAUUGGCCCUUCAAACAUCCAGGGCUUUGGAGUCAUCUGAUAGUGUGAUCCAGGCAAGAGGUGUAAAUCUUCAAUCAAAUCUGUUGAAUGGGAAAAUUAAAAUCUCAUUGUGAAUUUCAGAUAAUACUGAAUCAACCAAAUAUAAUAUGUGACAUAUGAAUUUUUGUGGCUACCAUUGUACAUAUGAAAUUGCAUGAUGCUCAUAGGCCAUGGGAGAUGGAUGAGAGAUCAAAGCUGGUACAGAGACCACAUAUAAGCUGAGCUGAGCAAUUCAUAAGCAAAUGAGUUGAAGCAUCACAUUUGAAGGCUGUAGCUCCUUGGUUCAACACUUCAACUAUGCUUUGAUAAGUCAGAAUGGUUGACAUAUAGAGAAGGUUAAUGGCAUCAAUGGAGCAUAAUGGUCGGUCACUUGAUAGAAAUGACCGUAGUGCAAUGUAAUAAGUAGGGACUCUGUUUUUGUAAAUCUACACCAAGAUAAACUGUAGUGAAAAUUGGAAAAUCUAUUUCAGAUACGAAAACCUGCCUUAAUGGGAGCCUCUUCUAUAAUACACUAUAAAAGUUUUAGACUUUUUGUUUGAUCA